UUACACCCUGUAUAUAAACAAUCAAAUAGUUUCAAGUACCGUAACUAAAGCGUGUGUUAACGCUCUAUACUAUCAGUAGAUGCUGACAACACUAACUACGGCUUAUUUUAAAGGGUUUCCCUGUGCCGUGUGUGGAAGAAUGUACUCACUGAAAUGCAACAUGCUGCGGCACCGACGUCUAGAGUGCGGGAAAGCUCCUCAGUUCCACUGUCAACUCUGCCCUUACAAGGGCAAACGCAAGGAACAUCUGCAAGCACAUCUGGCGUUCAAACAUAAAAUGCUGUGAUAUCCUUUUGUGUGAAAGUAUGGUGAUUCCCAAAAGGUCUGCCCGUAUACUGCUGUAAAGCGUGUGGGCGAUGGUACAAGAACAAAGAGACUCUGACGAGACACCGGCGCAUAGAGUGUGGACUGGAACCUCGGUGCUUCUGUCCUCUCUGCCCCUACAAGACCAAAGCGCAGAGACAACCUCCAGAGACACAUCGCUGUCAGGCACGCCAGAUAGCACAGUUUAGCUUGUUUGGUUGUACAACUGAAUCUCGUAUUGUUCAACUCACACCAUAUUUUAAAUUAUUUGUUAUGUUACAAAUUUAUUUUUUGACAUUUGUUAUUUACUGGUGAAUAAAACCACUUUAAAUUAAA